UACAGAGGUCUCAAGCGUUGUUCGGAUUCAUUGGGCGUAAAGGGUGCGUAGGUGGCGUGGUAAGUCGGGUGUGAAAUUUCGGAGCUUAACUCCGAAACUGCAUUCGAUACUGCUGUGCUUGAGGACUGGAGAGGAGACUGGAAAUUUACGGUGUAGCGGUGAAAUGCGUAGAUAUCGUAAGGAAGACCAGUGGCGAAGGCGGGUCUCUGGACAGUUCCUGACGCUGAGGCACGAAGGCCAGGGGAGCAAACGGG
rnacentral:rRNA from 1 species